GAUGAAGAACGUAGCGAAAUGCGAUACUUGGUGUGAAUUGCAGAAUCCCGUGAACCAUCGAGUCUUUGAACGCAAGUUGCGCCCGAAGCCAUCAGGUUGAGGGCACGUCUGCCUGGGCGUCACAUAUCGUUGCCCAAUGCCUAUUGCAGUGCAAUAGGAAUUUCUAGGGCGAAUGAUGGCUUCCCGUGAGCGUUGUUGCCUCGCGGUUGGUUGAAAAUCGAGUCCUUGGUAGGGUGUGCCAUGGUAGAUGGUGGUCGAGUUAGAACGAUACCGAUCAUGUGCAUGCUCCCCAAAAUAUGGCCUCUAUGACCCACACGCGUCUUUUGACGCUCAUGACGAGACCUCAGGUCAGGCGGGGCUACCCGCUGAAUUUAAGCAUAUCAAUAAGCGGAUGA
rnacentral:misc_RNA from 1 species